CAGGGAGACAACACAAUGAUUUUGAUGCCUGAGUGCUUUUAUUCUUAGGCCGAAAUCCUGUCACCUUAGGUCGAUCGGUACCUCAGCUUUGAAGUCAAGGAUCAGCAGAAAUGUUGAUUGCUUGAUGGAGAUUUUCAGUUCCUAAACUUUGUCUAGGUCACACCCCAAAAGGGAUGAGACUCCUGGGCCAUUAGCUCAGGUGGUUAGAGCGCACCCCUGAUAAGGGUGAGGUCCCUGGUUCAAGUCCAGGAUGGCCCAUUCGGUGUUGGGGGUUUAGCUCAGUUGGUAGAGCGCCUGCUUUGCAAGCAGGAUGUCAGGAGUUCGAGUCUCCUAACCUCCACUGACCGAACUUGAUUCCCAUCUCCAAUUUUUUUGGAGUUGAGCUCGAUUGGAGUGUGAUUUAGAUGUGUCCGCUGGAUGACCCCAGCUUCCUGUCAUUCCAAAUUUUAGGUUGAAGCCUUGAAUUUGGUUGAUAAGAUGCUGGGCUCGAAUCAAAUUAUCAAGUAAUUGAUGAUUUGAUUUGAAGUUCUGGCAGAACCUUGACAACUGCAUAGGUGAGUCUGGAAAAAACAAAGCAUCUUACAGAUGCAUUGUUUUGAAUCUGAUCUUCUGAAAGGUAGGUUAGAUCUAGAACAAUGAAAAUUCUUUUGAGCAAGAGCCGAGACUCUUGAACGUUCUUUGAUUCGUGUCGAGCGAAUCAGAGUUUGAUCUUGUUUUUAUCAAUAAAAACUUGAGAAUCUGCUUUCAACGGCGGUAAGCGUUCAGGAGAUUAAUU
rnacentral:tRNA from 1 species